AGAGGGUUGCCAUGGUGACACCAUCCCCCUCUUCCAUGCAAAGAAUACUGUGUGACAUCACUUUCUUUUGCGAUUCAUUCUCACAGCAGUGGGGCCAUCCUAUGUCCACUGAAUCUUGGCUUCAGCCUCCUCUUCUUAGCAGACAGAACUCAAGGAGGGCUGACUGUAUCGUGUUCAUGGAAAGUCCAGAAGGUACCAGCCACAUUCCCAGCAGUUUAUAAAGGAUAUCCACGAUCUCUAAUCACCUUUUCACAGGACUGUCACUGCCCUCUCACCAUCUAGAGAGGAUGAGCCAAGCACAGAUGUAACAAUGAAGACUGCGGUUACAGAGCACAGGCAAGG